rnacentral:piRNA from 1 species
UGUUUUCCAGUCAAACUACUUUGAUAG